rnacentral:rRNA from 1 species
AGUGAACGCUGGCGGUAGGCCUAACACAUGCAAGUCGAACGGCAGCACAGUAAGAGCUUGCUCUUACGGGUGGCGAGUGGCGGACGGGUGAGGAAUACAUCGGAAUCUACUUUUUCGUGGGGGAUAACGUAGGGAAACUUACGCUAAUACCGCAUACGACCUACGGGUGAAAGCAGGGGAUCUUCGGACCUUGCGCGAUUGAAUGAGCCGAUGUCGGAUUAGCUAGUUGGCGGGGUAAAGGCCCACCAAGGCGACGAUCCGUAGCUGGUCUGAGAGGAUGAUCAGCCACACUGGAACUGAGACGCGGUCCAGACUCCUACGGGAGGCAGCAGUGGGGAAUAUUGGACAGUGGGCGCAAGCCUGAUCCAGCCAUACCGAGUGGGUGAAGAAGGCCUUCGGGUUGUAAAACCGUUUUGUUGGGAAAGAAAAGCAGCAGGUUAAUACCCCGCUGUUCUGACAGUACCCAAAGAAUAAGCACCGGCUAACUUCGUG